rnacentral:lncRNA from 1 species
GAUUCGAGGCCUCUGGCUUCAAAUACUGAUCCUCUCUGGGACUCCUCUCAGAUAUCCUGUUGUUGCCUUGUGUCGUGGAGAUCCUACAGCUUUGGAUCUGAAAGACCGGCCCUUCACAUGCUCCAGCAGAUCAUAGAUGGUGUAGAUGUUGGGGUGGGCCAGCUCAAAGCCCUGGAUCUGGGCCUGGGUGGUAGCUGAGUUGGUCAGUCUGCCAGUUCUCCUGCACCCACACUUCUACAAAGCCACAACUGGCAAGAGGCAGGGCCAGCUCUCCCACUCUCAGAUUUGGCCAUCGGUGACAGCACAGGCCACAAUAUCACCAUGGCCUCCAGUGGCAGGUAGCAGGGCAAGCUACUCACCUCAGGCUGUUUCUCUCCACCUUCAGUUCCAUUUCUCUUUGUAGUGCUCAAACCAUUACAUUUCUCUUUUUCUUCUAGCUCUCCACCACAUGCUUACACUUCAGAGUGGCUCCUGCUUUUGGCAGGUCUCUGGGUUUCUUCCCUUCUCUCUUAAAAAACAAAACAAAGAAAACAAACAAACAAAAAAAGCUGGGCUGA